UUUACGGUUUCGUCAAAAGUAAACAUAACGUCGUAAGUCGCAAAAUUUGACGCAACUUGAUGAUUUUUUCUUAAGUCAAACUAACUGUAAAUCAGUAUAGUUAGAAAAAUGUUUAUUUUGGGCAGUUCACCGUUCAAGUAGUCAGGUGUACUAUAAACAACGGUCAAUCCCAGCUUCUAGCUACAUGGAAAAUCAAUUCGUAAAACAAGUAUCUGCAUCCGGAUCGUUUGCGAGCAAACAACAUUUCACCCAACCAACAUUUCACGCACUGUACAACGAUGCUUCCGGUUCGCACCAUCGAGCUUGAGCUGCACCUGCUACACCACAUCAUCUUAUCAUUGAGAAGAACUUUUAUCGAUUGCCCAUCGCAAUCUACGAACCGCUUUCUCUAUAUAUCCGCGAAUACAUUCGAGUAGCAUUCUUUUGCUAAAGGAAGCGGUUACAUAACUAGAUUCCUUUUACAUAAUGAACCAAAUGGGCUGCACGAUUCAUUUAUUAAUACAGUGCCUGAACCGCUUUGCCCAACGUAAUGAUGCAUCCAGUGAUCGCCAACAUUGGCCACUCAAAACUACUGUAACCGAGUCGACUAGGUUACAAUUUGGAGAAUCCGAAUUCAACUCGAACACCCAGCGCAAUCGCCGGAAAGCAAUUGAGGAACCUGGAUAGGGGAGGACAAGGCAAAAACGCCACCCGGGGCUAGAAGAGUACCCCUCAAUUUUAUUGCUAUUAUGCCUUUUUUCUCUCUAAAUAACCCCGCACACUAUUAAGCUAUAGUUCAAAGAAAGACUUGAAAUUGAAAAAAUAUUAUAAAAAUAAUGAAUCUGAAAUACAGAAGAAUUAGCAAAAGUUGGUGAAAACUUGGAUUUUCUUA